rnacentral:rRNA from 1 species
AAAUUGUUUCCAUUUUUUUUUAAAUGCCGUAGUAUUUUGACUAUACAAAGGUAUUGAAAUAAGACUUUAAAUGAGUGCUAAGAGAAUGGAAUUACAGAAAAAAGCUUUUUUAAAUUUAAUAAUUAAAGUUAUUUUUAUUUGUGAAGAAACAAUAAUUAAAAUUAAGGACAAGAAGACCCUAUGAAUUUUUUUGAAAUAUAUUUCAUUUAAAUAAAUAAAUAUAUAUUUCUUUAAUUGGGGCGAUUAAUUAAUAUUUUGAACUUUUUUGCAAAAAUAUGAACCGUUUAAAAGCGGUAAAUUGUAAAAAUACUCUAGGGAUAACAGCGUAAUAAUUUUAGAUAGUUCAUAUUGACAAAAUAGUUUGCGACCUCGAUGUUGGAUUAGGAUGUUUUUUUGGCGAAGAAGUUAAAAAAAAAAGUUUGUUCAACUUUUAAAUUCCUACUUGAUCUGGGGGAUAACCGGAUUAGUUUGUUCAACUUUUAAAUUCCUACUUGAUCUGGGGGAUAACCGGAUU